CCUACGGGUGGCAGCAGUGGGGAAUAUUGGACAAUGGGCGAAAGCCUGAUCCAGCCAUGCCGCGUGUGUGAAGAAGGCCUUCGGGUUGUAAAGCACUUUCAGUGGGGAAGAAAGCCUUGGGGCUAAUACCCUCGAGGAAGGACAUCACCCACAGAAGAAGCACCGGCUAACUCCGUGCCAGCAGCCGCGGUAAUACGGAGGGUGCGAGCGUUAAUCGGAAUUACUGGGCGUAAAGCGCGCGUAGGCGGUCUGAUAAGCCGGUUGUGAAAGCCCCGGGCUCAACCAGGGAACGGCAUCCGGAACUGUCAGGCUAGAGUGCAGGAGAGGAAGGUAGAAUUCCCGGUGUAGCGGUGAAAUGCGUAGAGAUCGGGAGGAAUACCAGUGGCGAAGGCGGUCUUCUGGACUGACACUGACGCUGAGGUGCGAAAGCGUGGGUAGCAAACAGGAUUAGAUACCCGUGUAGUC
rnacentral:rRNA from 1 species